rnacentral:lncRNA from 1 species
GUAUAGGAGUUCCGAACAGUUUCUUGCAAGUCAGCAGCAUAGCAGAGUGGGCUCAGUGAUGGGCUACGGAGCAGGACCGCUCGGGUUCGAGACACACGGGUACAUAAGGAUUUUUCCUGAAAUGUAAACAUAGAAAUAUGGCGCAAGAAGGAGGCUAGCCCCCCGUCAGACACGAGAGCAGGGCGGGUGGCAGUAGGGCGCCCAGGGAAAGGAAAAGAUCAAAGAUGGGUGCAAACAUGGGAGAAUGCAUUUUUUUGCUCACGCGCGAGCGAUGCGCCGCGCAACGCGGACAACCUUUUUCCGGCUUCCCCAAAAUACUGAACCCCGUUUGCAUCCUGCACACCCCCAAAAAUAAUGGGAUCCCUUUUUCAGUAUCGCCUCCAAGCGGUGCGACUGCUGCGCGAAGGAUGCGAUCACGCUGGACAGGUUAGUUCAACAGUUGCCCCAUAUGGCAGGUAAGAAGUUGAGAUGAACAUAUGCGUCCGAUGAUUU